rnacentral:rRNA from 1 species
UACGGGGGGGAGCAAGCGUUUGUUCGGAUUUACUGGGCGUAAAGGGCGCGUAGGCGGCCAGCACAAGUCAGUUGUGAAAUCUCCGGGCUUAACUCGGAAAGGUCAACUGAUACUGUGCGGCUAGAGUGCAGAAGGGGCAACUGGAAUUCUCGGUGUAGCGGUGAAAUGCGUUGAUAUCAUUAGGAACACCGGUGGCGAAGGCGGCUUACUGGGUCUUUUCUGACGCUGAGGCACGAAAGCCAGGGGAGCGAACGGG